CGCACCUUGCACCCUUUGGUAUUCCGAAGGGUAUGCCUGUUUGAGUGUCAUGAAACCUCAUCUCUAUUAGUUUUCUGAACUACUAGAUGGUGACUUGGGUGUCUGCCUUUUGGCUCACCUUAAAGACAUAAGUGGUCUCUGGAUGUAAUACGUUUCGUCCUUGGCUGCUGACAACAACCAUUUUUCAAAUCUGACCUCAAAUCAGGUAGGGCUACCCGCUGAACUUAA
rnacentral:misc_RNA from 1 species